rnacentral:rRNA from 1 species
CCUACGGGUGGCAGCAGUAGGGAAUAUUGCUCAAUGGGGGAAACCCGGAAGCAGCAACGCCGCGUGGAGGAUGAAGGUUUUCGGAUUGUAAACUCCUUUUGUUAGAGAAGAUAAUGAAGGUACCCCAAUAGCAAGCCACGGCUAACUACGUGCCAGAAGCCGCGGUAAUACGUAGGUGGCAAGCGUUAUACGGAAUGACUGGGCGUAAAGGGUGCGAAGGUGGUUUAGUAAGUUGGCGGUGUAAUUCCGGGGCUCAACCUCGGCGCUACCGCCAAAACUAUUAGACUAGAGGGCAGGAGGGGUAAGUGGAAUUCCUAGUGUAGCGGUGGAAUGCGUAGAUAUUAGGAGGAACAUCAGGGGCGAAGGCGACUUACUGGACUGUAACUGACACUGAGGCACGAAAGCGUGGGGAGCAAACAGGAUUAGAUACCCGUGUAGUC